rnacentral:rRNA from 1 species
ACGCUGGCGGCGUGCCUAAUACAUGCAAGUAGAACGCUGAAGCUUGGUGCUUGCACCGAGCGGAUGAGUUGCGAACGGGUGAGUAACGCGUAGGUAACCUGCCUCUUAGCGGGGGAUAACUAUUGGAAACGAUAGCUAAUACCGCAUAAAAGUCGACAUCGCAUGAUGUUGAUUUGAAAGGUGCAAUUGCAUCACUAAGAGAUGGACCUGCGUUGUAUUAGCUAGUUGGUGAGGUAACGGCUCACCAAGGCGACGAUACAUAGCCGACCUGAGAGGGUGAUCGGCCACACUGGGACUGAGACACGGCCCAGACUCCUACGGGAGGCAGCAGUAGGGAAUCUUCGGCAAUGGGGGCAACCCUGACCGAGCAACGCCGCGUGAGUGAAGAAGGUUUUCGGAUCGUAAAGCUCUGUUGUAAGAGAAGAACGAGUGUGAGAGUGGAAAGUUCACACUGUGACGGUAACUUACCAGAAAGGGACGGCUAACUACGUGCCAGCAGCCGCGGUAAUACGUAGGUCCCGAGCGUUAUCCGGAUUUAUUGGGCGUAAAGCGAGCGCAGGCGGUUAGAUAAGUCUGAAGUUAAAGGCUGUGGCUUAACCAUAGUACGCUUUGGAAACUGUUUAACUUGAGUGCAGAAGGGGAGAGUGGAAUUCCAUGUGUAGCGGUGAAAUGCGUAGAUAUAUGGAGGAACACCGGUGGCGAAAGCGGCUCUCUGGUCUGUAACUGACGCUGAGGCUCGAAAGCGUGGGGAGCAAACAGGAUUAGAUACCCUGGUAGUCCACGCCGUAAACGAUGAGUGCUAGGUGUUGGGUCCUUUCCGGGACUCAGUGCCGCAGCUAACGCAUUAAGCACUCCGCCUGGGGAGUACGACCGCAAGGUUGAAACUCAAAGGAAUUGACGGGGGCCCGCACAAGCGG